GACGAACGCUGGCGGCGUGCUUAACACAUGCAAGUCGAACGUGAUUUUCAUAGAAGUUCCUUCGGGAGUGGAAAUGAAAUGAAAGUGGCGAACGGGUGGGUAACACGUGAGCAACCUACCUUACACAGGGGGAUAGCCGUUGGAAACGACGAUUAAUACCGCAUGAGACCACAGAAUCGCAUGAUAUAGGGGUCAAAGAUUUAUCGGUGUAAGAAGGGCUCGCGUCUGAUUAGCUAGUUGGAAGGGUAAAGGCCUACCAAGGCGACGAUCAGUAGCCGGUCUGAGAGGAUGAACGGCCACAUUGGAACUGAGACACGGUCCAAACUCCUACGGGAGGCAGCAGUGGGGAAUAUUGCACAAUGGGGGGAACCCCUGAUGCAGCGACGCCGCGUGAGCGAAAGAAGGUUUUCGAAUCGUAAAAGCUUCUGUCCU
rnacentral:rRNA from 1 species